UCAAGUGACUAAGUGCAUGUGGUGGAUGCCUUGGCGAUUACAGGCGACGAAGGACGUGAUAGCCUGCGAUAAGCUUCGGGGAGCUGGCAAAUUAGCUUUGAUCCGGAGAUUUCCGAAUGGGGGAACCCACUCCGCAAGGAGUAACUUUGGCUGAAUACAUAGGCCACUGUGGCGAACCGGGUGAACUGAAACAUCUCAGUAGCUCGAGGAAAAGACAUCAACCGAGAUUCCGAAAGUAGUGGCGAGCGAAAUCGGAACAGCCUGUGCUCUUUAGCAGACGACUUACUGGAACGGAAUGGAAAGUCCGGCCAUAGCGGGUGAUAGCCCCGUACAGGAAAAGACUUCUGUGGAACUAAGUGCACGACAAGUAGGGCGGGACACGUGUAAUCCUGUCUGAAUAUGGGGGGACCAUCCUCCAAGGCUAAAUACUCGUAAUCGACCGAUAGUGAACAAGUACCGUGAGGGAAAGGCGAAAAGAACCCCGGGAGGGGAGUGAAAUAGAUCCUGAAACCGCAUGCAUACAAAAAGUAGGAGCCGCAAGGUGACUGCGUACCUUUUGUAUAAUGGGUCAGCGACUUACAUUCAGUGGCAAGCUUAACCGAGUAGGGGAGGCGUAGGGAAACCGAGUCCGAACAGGGCGUUCAAGUCGCUGGGUGUAGACCCGAAACCAGGUGAUCUAUCCAUGGCCAGGAUGAAGGUGCGGUAACACGCACUGGAGGUCCGAACCGACUAGUGUUGCAAAACUAGCGGAUGAGCUGUGGAUAGGGGUGAAAGGCUAAACAAACCUGGAGAUAGCUGGUUCUCUCCGAAAACUAUUUAGGUAGUGCCUCAAGUAUUACCAUCGGGGGUAGAGCACUGUUAUGGCUAGGGGGUCAUGGCGACUUACCAAACCAUUGCAAACUCCGAAUACCGAUGAGUACAGCUUGGGAGACAGUGCACCGGGUGCUAACGUCCGGACACAAGAGGGAAACAACCCAGACCGCCAGCUAAGGUCCCCAAAAUUGGCUAAGUGGGAAACGAAGUGGGAAGGCUAAAACAGUCAGGAUGUUGGCUUAGAAGCAGCCAUCAUUUAAAGAAAGCGUAAUAGCUCACUGAUCGAGUCGUCCUGCGCGGAAGAUGUAACGGGGCUAAGCCAGUUACCGAAGCUGCGGAUUUGCAAUUUAUUGCAAGUGGUAGGAGAGCGUUCUGUACGCCUGUGAAGGUGGAUCGCGAGGUCUGCUGGAGGUAUCAGAAGUGCGAAUGCUGACAUGAGUAGCGUUAAAGAGGGUGAAAAGCCCUCUCGCCGAAAGCGCAAGGUUUCCUACGCAACGUUCAUCGGCGUAGGGUGAGUCGGCCCCUAAGGCGAGGCAGAGAUGCGUAGCUGAUGGGAAACAGGUCAAUAUUCCUGUACCGAUCUAUAGUGCGAUGUGGGGACGGAGAAGGUUAACUCAGCCGGGUGUUGGAUGUCCCGGUUCAAGCCUGUAGUCAUGCCUGGUAGGCAAAUCCGCCGGGCUUAGAUGAGGGGUGAUAACGAGUCUGCUUGCAGACGAAGUGAGUGAUACCCUGCUUCCAGGAAAAGCCACUAAGCUUCAGCUAUAGACGACCGUACCGCAAACCGACACUGGUGCGCGAGAUGAGUAUUCUAAGGCGCUUGAGAGAACUCUGGAGAAGGAACUCGGCAAAUUGACACCGUAACUUCGGAAGAAGGUGUGCCUUUAGUAGGUGAAGUCCCUCGCGGAUGGAGCCCAAUGAGGUUGCAAAGAAUCGGUGGCUGCGACUGUUUAAUAAAAACACAGCACUCUGCAAAGACGAAAGUCGACGUAUAGGGUGUGACGCCUGCCCGGUGCUGGAAGAUUAAAUGAUGGGGUGCAAGCUCUUGAUUGAAGUCCCAGUAAACGGCGGCCGUAACUAUAACGGUCCUAAGGUAGCGAAAUUCCUUGUCGGGUAAGUUCCGACCUGCACGAAUGGCGUAACGAUGGCCACACUGUCUCCUCC
rnacentral:rRNA from 1 species